GAUGAACGCUGGCGGCGUGCCUAAUACAUGCAAGUCGAGCGAACGGACGAGAAGCUUGCUUUUCUGAUGUUAGCGGCGGACGGGUGAGUAACACGUGGAUAACUUACCUAUAAGACUGGGAUAACUUCGGGAAACCGGAGCUAAUACCGGAUAAUAUUUUGAACCGCAUGGUUCAAAAGUGAAAGACGGUCUUGCUGUCACUUAUAGAUGGAUCCGCGCUGCAUUAGCUAGUUGGUAAGGUAACGGCUUACCAAGGCAACGAUGCAUAGCCGACCUGAGAGGGUGAUCGGCCACACUGGAACUGAGACACGGUCCAGACUCCUACGGGAGGCAGCAGUAGGGAAUCUUCCGCAAUGGGCGAAAGCCUGACGGAGCAACGCCGCGUGAGUGAUGAAGGUCUUCGGAUCGUAAAACUCUGUUAUUAGGGAAGAACAUAUGUGUAAGUAACUGUGCACAUCUUGACGGUACCUAAUCAGAAAGCCACGGCUAACUACGUGCCAGCAGCCGCGGUAAUACGUAGGUGGCAAGCGUUAUCCGGAAUUAUUGGGCGUAAAGCGCGCGUAGGCGGUUUUUUAAGUCUGAUGUGAAAGCCCACGGCUCAACCGUGGAGGGUCAUUGGAAACUGGAAAACUUGAGUGCAGAAGAGGAGAGUGGAAUUCCAUGUGUAGCGGUGAAAUGCGCAGAGAUGUGGAGGAACACCAGUGGCGAAGGCGACUUUCUGGUCUGUAACUGACGCUGAUGUGCGAAAGCGUGGGGAUCAAACAGGAUUAGAUACCCUGGUAGUCCACGCCGUAAACGAUGAGUGCUAAGUGUUAGGGGGUUUCCGCCCCUUAGUGCUGCAGCUAACGCAUUAAGCACUCCGCCUGGGGAGUACGACCGCAAGGUUGAAACUCAAAGGAAUUGACGGGGGCCCGCACAAGCGGUGGAGCAUGUGGUUUAAUUCGAAGCAACGCGAAGAACCUUACCAAAUCUUGACAUCCUUUGACAACUCUAGAGAUAGAGCCUUCCCCUUCGGGGGACAAAGUGACAGGUGGUGCAUGGUUGUCGUCAGCUCGUGUCGUGAGAUGUUGGGUUAAGUCCCGCAACGAGCGCAACCCUUAAGCUUAGUUGCCAUCAUUAAGUUGGGCACUCUAAGUUGACUGCCGGUGACAAACCGGAGGAAGGUGGGGAUGACGUCAAAUCAUCAUGCCCCUUAUGAUUUGGGCUACACACGUGCUACAAUGGACAAUACAAAGGGCAGCGAAACCGCGAGGUCAAGCAAAUCCCAUAAAGUUGUUCUCAGUUCGGAUUGUAGUCUGCAACUCGACUACAUGAAGCUGGAAUCGCUAGUAAUCGUAGAUCAGCAUGCUACGGUGAAUACGUUCCCGGGUCU
rnacentral:rRNA from 1 species